ACAUUUAAAGGCAUAAAGUAUUUACUCACUCCCUAGCCACAGCCACCAUUACCUCCUCAGUCCCAACUUCGGAUAUAAUUAUUGAUAUAUUUAUAACAAGUUUAUGAAGAAUGUGAAAAAGAUCUGACCACCCUAGCUAUGGACUGAAGUUGGAGCCUCUUUUCUAAUAUAAUGCAAUUGACCAAGACUGCUUGGGAGCAGCUGUCAGUAUUGUUUAAAGCUGUCUUUCAAUAUGGCCAAACUCUUUGUUAUCUAAAACCCCUUGUCUGAUUUGUUGCCUCUAUUUCACUUUUCCAAUUAGAUGAAUGACAGAAACAAAUAAUCGUAAUAAAUAUUGUCAAAUCUGAUUUUA
rnacentral:antisense_RNA from 1 species